rnacentral:rRNA from 1 species
GAUGAACGCUAGCGGCAGGCUUAACACAUGCAAGUCGAGGGGCAGCAUGAGGGUUAGCAAUAACCCUUGAUGGCGACCGGCGCAAGGGUGCGUAACGCGUGAGCAACUUGCCCGUUUCAGGGGGAUAACCGGUGGAAACGCCGACUAAUACCCCAUGGUGAUGGUUUGAGGCAUCUCUUUCCAUCUAAAGAAUUUCGGAAACGGAUAGGCUCGCGUGACAUUAGCUAGAUGGCGGGGUAACGGCCCACCAAGUCGACGAUAGCUAGGGGAUCUGAGAGGACGGUCCCCCACACUGGUACUGAGACACGGACCAGACUCCUACGGGAGGCAGCAGUAAGGAAUAUUGGGCAAUGGAGGCAACUCUGACCCAGCCAUGCCGCGUGAAGGAUGAAGGCCCUACGGGUCGUAAACUUCUUUUGUCGGGGAAUAAAGUCGCCUACGUGUAGGCGUUUGCAGGUACCCGAAGAAUAAGCAUCGGCUAACUCCGUG